rnacentral:rRNA from 1 species
UACGAAGGGGGCUAGCGUUGCUCGGAAUCACUGGGCGUAAAGCGCUCGUAGGCGGCUUUGUAAGUCAGGGGUGAAAUCCUGGAGCUCAACUCCAGAACUGCCUUUGAUACUGGGAAGCUCGAGUCCGGAAGAGGUGAGUGGAACUCCGAGUGUAGAGGUGAAAUUCGUAGAUAUUCGGAAGAACACCAGUGGCGAAGGCGGCUCACUGGGCCGGUACUGACGCUGAGGUGCGAAAGCGUGGGGAGCAAACAGG